AUUGAACGCUGGCGGCAUGCCUUACACAUGCAAGUCGAACGGUAACAGGGAGCUUGCUCCGCUGACGAGUGGCGAACGGGUGAGUAAAGUAUCGGAACGUACCUUUCAGUGGGGGAUAACUAUCCGAAAGGAUAGCUAAUACCGCAUAUUCUGUGAGCAGGAAAGCAGGGGAUCGCAAGACCUUGCGCUGAUUGAGCGGCCGAUAUCAGAUUAGCUAGUUGGUGAGGUAAAGGCUCACCAAGGCGACGAUCUGUAGCGGGUCUGAGAGGAUGAUCCGCCACACUGGAACUGAGACACGGUCCAGACUCCUACGGGAGGCAGCAGUGGGGAAUUUUGGACAAUGGGGGCAACCCUGAUCCAGCCAUGCCGCGUGAGUGAAGACGGCCUUCGGUUGUAACUCUUCAUAGGACGAAGGCGCAAGUGACGGUACCUAUAGAAGAAGACACCGGCCAACUACGUAGCCAGCAGCCGCGGUAA
rnacentral:rRNA from 1 species